UCAACAUGUGAAGCCAUGGGGGUAGGACGCCGGGAACUAUUCUCCGAUUCAGCUCUGACCCUGAAUUAUCUUGGCUUCACUGAUGUCCCCAGCUCAGCAGAUGGACAGCAGCUGAGUGGCCUGACUACUUUAAGGGUGAAUCACAUCUUUAGGAACUCCUUGAAUAGCGUCCUGAAGGAGGAGAAAAGUGCAAGGAUAAAGGCUCAGUGGGCAUUUCAGGGUACAGAAGGCUUGACUGCCUGAGGUCAUAGGUCACUUCAGAAUCCAGGAAGAGGCAGAGGCCCCUCUCCACAGAAGAAGCCUCUUGCUGAAACUACAGCUUCCAGGACUAUGACUGUGACACUUGUAUCUCUGUGAACACAAGGUUCAGGAGUAUUUUGUCCAGGGAUCCUCCGUCCUCCUCCCACAUGACAUCAAGGGAAGGAGGGUUUUCUGACUCUUGAAGGGGCUGGAGAUAAACUGAAGCCACAGUCUCCAUUAAAGCUGCAGUUCUGUA